UUUCUCAGAACCUAUGAUCAGUUCUGGUUGAAAUUUUGAUCUCUUUUAGUGUCAUAAGUCCAGUUCAGUGUAAGUGAAAAUCUCAGCUGAGCUCAAAUACCUGCUUCAAGACAAUUUGAGUGAUUUCAGACUUCAGUUCAACAAUAUGGAUUGCAACAAUAGUUGCGACGAUGAUGGUUGCAGUGAUUUCUGCGGCACAGGAAGGCCGAAAAAUGAUGACUGCAGUGGUGGUAAAAUAGACGAAAAAACAAGAGCAAUGAUUUGCAAAGUACAAAAAUGCUACGAAAAGUGUCGAAAAAGUUGUGGCAGUGGUUGCUGAUACUGAGUUGAUUUAAUUUUAGCAAAAUAUGAAAUACAAUGUUCAUCACAUUAA